rnacentral:rRNA from 1 species
AAAAAAUAUAAAGAGUUUGAUCCUGGCUCAGAAUAAACGUUAUUAGUUAAUUUUACACAUGCAAGUUAAUAAAAAAUUUAUUAGCGCACGGGUGAGUAAUAUACAAAAAUUAGUCUAAAUUUUUUAGAUAAGUUUGUAUAAGAUUAUGUUUUAAAAAAGUUAAAUUUUUUUUUAAACUAUAAUCUUUAGUUGGUCUUUGAGGAUGAACAACCACAUUGGAAUUGAGAUACGGUCCAAACUUUUUUAAGGCAGCAGUGAAGAAUAUUGGGCAAUGAGCGAUAGCUUGACCCAGUUAAACUAAUUAUGUGAUGAAGGCUAAAAGUUGUAAAACAUUAAAUAAUAUUAAAAAUAAUGAUUAUUUAUUAUUUUAGUUCCGGCAAAUUUCGUGCCAGCAGCCGCGGUAAAACGAGAGGAGCUAACGUUAUUCUAAUUUAUUGGGCGUAAAGUAUAAGUAGGUUGAAAAAUAAUAAUUUGAUUGUAAUAUAAAUAAAAAAAUUUAUUUUAUUAUUAUAAAAUUUUUCUAGAGUUUAAAUGAAGAUUUUAGAAUUUUAAAUGUAACAGUAAAAUGUUUUGAUAUUUAAAGGAAUCUCAAAUGCGUAAGCAUUAAUCUAAUUUAAUACUGACACUGAUUAAUUAAAGUAUAGGUAGCAAAAGGGAUUAGAUACCCCUGUAGUCUGUACCGUGAACUAUAAAUGCUUAUUUUAAUAAAGAUUUAUUAAGAUUUAAUUAACAUGUUAAGCAUUUCGCCUGGGAACUACGAUCGCAAGAUUAAAACUCAAAGGAAUUGACGGGAAUUCAAACAAGCGGUGGAGCAUGUGGUUUAAUUCGACAAUACGCGCGAAAUCUUACCAAUUUUUGAAUAUUUUACAGGUGUUGCAUGGUUGUCGUCAGUCCGUGCUUUGAAGUGUAUGGUUCAUUCCAGUAAACGGACAAAACUCUUGUAUAAUUUAAUAAUUAUUAUAUUUAUAUAUUAUUAAGGAUAUCUUAAAGGAAGAAAAGAAUGACGUCAAAUCCUCAUGACCCUGAUGAAUUGGGCUACUUUCAUGUGCUACAAUAACUUUUUCAAUAAUUAGUGUUAAAGUAAUUUUAUACAAAUAAAAAAAAAGUUUUAACGGAUUAUUUUCUGAAACUCGAAAAUAUAAAGUUGAAAUUGCUAGUAAUCGUAAAUAAGAAUGUUACGGUGAAUUAGUUCUUGAAUUUUGUACACACCGCCCGUCACGCUAUGGGAAUCUUAUUUACUUGAAAAUUAAAAUUUAGGGUAAAAAGAAGACUGGAGUGAAGUCGUAACAAGGUAGUUGUAGGGGAACCUGUAGCUGGAAAUUUAUUAUUUAUUCUACUACUU